UUGAGCAUUUUUUAUAUGUAUAUAAAAAUUUAACUUUUUCUUGAGAGCUGGAUAGGACAAGCUUUACUUAAUUUACAAAUUUGAGGAAUGUUAACUUGUUUUGUGCAAAGAUAUUCCACGUAAUUGGUCAGGAAAUAUAUGGCUCAGUAGCUCAGUUCGGAAUAUUUAACUCGCUGUUGAAAAGUGAGUUGGCACCGAGAAUAAAUAAAGACGAGAUCAGAAGGCAUCCCGUGGCAGCUCGUCCUCCCUCAUCCAUUUGUUAAAAAAGGUCGUUGCAAGGUCGGUAAGUGAAAGUGCACUGAAGCUGUAAAAAUCUGAGAGAUAACACUGUGCGAUACCAAAAAAUUCCUUGGAAGUUAUGUAUAUUUUCUGGUAGAUCUUUUCGAGUAAAACAAGAAUCGAAAUAUGAAAUUUGUCUAACACCCCCAAUUUCUUGAUUUACCGUUAAAAAAAAAAACGGGUUUUCGUACUUUUGCGCACUUAUAAGCCUGUGACUUAGUCGAUUAUGAACCGAGUUUCAGUUUAUUGUCGGGUUUGAAAAGAAGAAACUCGGGCCUUCCGAACGAUAUAUGUACAUAUAUGCGAAUAAAGAAGUCUUAAGAUAUCUGUGUGUAUUUACCCAGAAAACACAUUUUUUUUUAUUUUUUUUUUAGUUUUGCUAAGGUUUUCACGCAUUAUUUUAUAAGAAAACCAUACUAGUCCUAAAUUGAUUUUAAAACCAAAUUUAUUAUCGAAAAAAUCAAGUUUAAUCGAUUUCCAAAAAUCGGACGAAACCUUUUAUGAAAACAAAAUUAAAAAAAAAAAAUAUGUAUUAUUUUUUGCUAUACAACUUAAAAAUGUUUGCUUAGCCGCGUAUUCCUGCUUUAUGCUUUUUUGUAACACUUUCUAGUCAUUCACUUUGCAACCUAUGUGUCGGUUCCCACCAAAGGGUCAUCCUUGCUCCAGCAAGCUUGGAUGACAAUUUCGUCGGGUGCGUAGGUGCGACAAAUAAGAACAAAAAGAGGUCGUGAGAUAAUUUUUUCCGAUAAAAAAAUUAUUACUCUUGCAACAAUCGCCCAAUCCACAGAACGAUAAGCUUAUGUGUGAGCUUCCCUCAACAAAUCGAAGGGUCAAACGGUUCCAAAAUACCACGUCAGCUUUGCCUCUCUAACAGUAUUGUUGGUAACAGCUUUGAGAUGUGACUUCCAGUUAGGGAUGCAAAUUUUCAGAGCCAACAUCGAUACAUCGAUAUUUCGAUGUAUCGUAAACACUAACAUCGAUGCCGA